rnacentral:sRNA from 1 species
GAUCUAACUUCUGAAUGUACUUCAGAAUAUGAUCAUACAGAAUCCGUCCAAAGUAAAAAACUCCUAGUCAGAGUUACUUUGGACGGUUAUAUCUCGAAAGAGGUAUAGGCAUUCCCUACGGGGCUUGUC